CCUAGGACAUAUUUGUACCCCAUCUCUAUUUUAUGCCUUUACACAAUUCUUUACUUAGUUCUAAAGCCUUUAUUGAGCCUGCUUUCUUUGUCCAGCUGAGUGCCACAUGUUCACACCACAAAGAUCAAUAAGGCAAACUCUGAAAGAUGGACAGAGAUAGAGGAGACGUUCCUUUAUAACGCAGUGUGAUCUGUGCUCCAAUAGAGAUGGAAGAGUGUUCUGAUUGGCUGGAAAACAACGUACAUGUGAAGCUGUAUGGAAAUGAGUGGAGAAAGUUUUGGAGACUAGAAGUUCAAAACAAGGUGUUGGCAGCACCAUGCUCUCUCUGAAGAUGCUAGGAAGAAUCUGUUACACACCUUUCCAUUCGCUUCUGGGGUUUCCUGCAAGCCCUCACAUUCCUUGGCUUGUAGAUGCAUCAGCCCAGUUUCUGCCCCCAUCAUCCUGUGGCCUCCUCUCUGUGUGUGCACCUGCAUUCCCUCUCCUCUUCUUCUAAGGACACCAGUCAUAGUAGAUUAAAGGUUCACUCCUAACUAAAUACAUCUGUAACAACCCUAUUUCCAAAUAAAGUCACAUUCUAAGA